rnacentral:lncRNA from 1 species
AUUGGUGAACAUGAAUAACUCCUGUCACACCACCAUACUCUGCGGCCUCAGGCUUUGUGAAAGAGGGAAGAAGAUGGCAGAUAAGACGUCAAAGGAAAGAGAAGAGAAUGUCUAGGGGGAAAAAGAAGAUGCAUGACGAAGAGAAGAGAGAAGAAUCUCAGCUGGGAGGGCUAUUCUGGCGAGAGCAGUUCCUGUUCUGAGACAGAAUUCAAGCCUUCAAAAACUCCAGAGUUUUGUCUUCUCAAUACCUCUUAAUUGUUCAUCCACGUGACUCAUUCAUAAGUUGACUGUUCUUAUAGAAUUAUGGAUCAUGUUUCAUUGGGAAGGGUAAUCACUAAGGUUUCCUUUAUCAUCUCUCAUGCACGAGGCAUAGAGGUGUAAAGAGGUCUACCUUCAACUGAAGAAUCAAAUUGAACUUAACUGCAUGUAUCCUAUAAAGAAAAGGCAAUUCUGAGGCUGUCUCCAUGGAUGAUUUGAAACUCCAGAAAAGCCAUGAGAUAUCCUCAAAGAAUGCAUUUCAGAUCUGCAUAUCUUCUGGCUGAAUCUUCUGGUAAAGAUGGCCCAUGAGCAGUGGUUCUUCCAAUGUCAGUUAUCUGGCAUUUGGAGCACACUCACUGAUCUUCUGUCAAGAUUAAGAAACAAGUGUUGAUGAUUUAAGUGGGUGAGCUCCCCUUUAUUGCUGGAUAAAAUGGUGCCAUGGUUCUGUUUUCAUAGCAUUCAGAUGAGAGAUUAGAGAGUCAUCUGGGUAAUUUAACCACUAUAGAAAGUCAGUCUGGAUAUUUCAGGCCUGUUGAGUAGGUUUCCCUUUGGCUUGAAUUCUCCAUACAGUUUUCUAUCCUGCUCAAUUGAUGAGAAAGCUGCUGCGCUGGUUCUUGACUGGGCUGAGAGAAGAUGCUGAACAUUUCAUGCCCUACAAAUCAAAAAAACUCAAAGAAAAAAAAAACCCUCAGACCCAAAGAUAGACAUGACUUUUUAUUUUUCUGACCCCCCCCCCCCAACAUAAUCUAAGAGCAGUGUUGGAAUUAGAUUUCAAGUUUUGACAUUUAGAGGCCUAGAGAUACAUAGAAUUCAUAAUUGAGAAAUGUUUGCAGAAAUGAAACUCCUAGGGAUAGGAGCCUUCUAAUGAACAUAUUUCAGUGGAGGUACAUGUGAUUUACAUGCUGUUUCUGGUGGUUUUCACUGUGAGUCCUCUGCAUCUGCUCUGUCUGUGCUUUUUCUCUUUGCAAUGUUUAGGGGGAAAAGGAAUAUGUCUGAGACCAGCUUGUGAUGUAUCUACCUUGUACCUAAGGCGAUUUGAGCUCUCCCCCCAGGUCAUGUUACUAUGCCUUUAUCCUGCUGAUCCAUCUCUCUCUCUCCCUCUCUCUCUCUCUCACACACACACAGAGCAUGUGAGAAUGAGAUUCCCAUGAACACUGUGAAUAAAAGGAAGGAAUUGAUAAGACCCCCUUUAGUUCUCAUUACCUCCACCUUGCCCUUUUUUGCCCUUUGAUGGAGGUACAUGAUGAAAAUCACAGCCUUCCAAGAGGAACAAAUUGCGUUCCUCCCAUUCUGUUUUAUCGUGGAAUAACUCAUUGUCCUUUCCUUGACUUCCCUCUUCCUUCUUGUAAACUCAGCACCAACAAAUGUGAUCUGAGUGCAAUCCCAUUCAGGUUAACCUUUUUUAUUGCCUACUCACAAUUUGGUUUCUCUGAGUAGUUAAUCUGGAUGAGGAAAUAUCUACAAGGCCACUUGGCAAGACAUGAGAUUUUCCGUUCUUUUUGAAAACUAAUGAAAAGGCAAUGAUUGCCUCACACUGUCCUGAGUAUUCCACAAAGAACUGCUCUCCACUUCCUGAACAGAACCCUCAGCUGCUGCCUUUUACCCUCGGCCACUCCCUGACUUCUUGGCCUGAUGUUAUCUGACCAACACUGGGACAAACACAUCUUCGAGUCUGGGGAAGUAAAUGCAUUUUUUGUUUGUCAACAAUCACUGUACAAGCAGAGGACACAUGUUGAGUUCAUACCAUAUGCCAGGAAUGGAAGGACAGGAAGGUAGAUGAGACAAUCAGGCCCUUUGCAAAGAGCUCCCUACCUAGUACGCAAGACCACCCUGUGACCAAAUUUAGUAAUUUCAACGUGCGAGACUCUCAGAUCCGAAGAAGCUCCUGCUACGUACAGAGAUAGAGGAGAAGAGUCUGGAACUAGUCUUGACAGUGGUGGAUAGGGGAGAUUUUCUGGAAGAAUUAAGCUCUGAGCUAGAUUUUUGAAAGAUGAGCAGGGAUUGUCAGAUGGAUGAUGGGGAAAAUGAAGGUGGGGUGGAAGGAAAGGGAAUGGAAGGAUAUUCGAUCUGUAAUAAAAACAAAGAUCAGUUCAUUAGACGCCUCUGGGGACUAUGACAAGAUCUGCACUGAGAAACAUCAUUUUGACUCUACCUAGAUGCUGAGUUUGAAUGCAAGUGCUGGGAACAACUGUGUAUCUAUUUAGAUUUGGGGCUGGGGAGUUUUGGCUCUGGCAUGGCACACUGGGUUAAGAAUCCAACUGCAGUGGCUUGGGUCACUGCAGAGGCAUGGGUUCAAUCCCCAGCCCAAGGCAGAGGUGGGUUAAGGAUCCGGUGUUAUCAUGAGUUGUAGUGUAGGUCACAGACACGGCUCGUAUCCAGUGUUUCUGUGGCUGUGGCACAGGCCAGCAACUAUAGUUCCGAUUUGACCCCUAGCCUGAGAACCUCCAUGUGUUACGGGUGCAGACUUAAAAGGACAAAAAAAAAAAAAAAAAAAAAAUUGUGGUUGCCAAAUUACUGCCAGGCCCAUUCUGACCCAACAAAUGUCUGUUUGUGAAAAUAAAGUUUUAUUGGAACACAGACACACCCAUUGUUUAUGUACUGCUCAUAGCUGCUUUCACACAAGGGCAGAGCUAAGUAGUUGCUACACAACUGUAGGGACCACAGAGCCCAAAAUAUCCACUGUCUGGCUCUUGAUGGUACAAGUUUGCUGAUAAGUUGUGCCAGAAUUAUGGUAAUAGAGGAUGAUGGCUGGAAAUAAAUCUGGGGUAGUGAGAACAGAGGGGGUGAGUGGUGCCAGAACUCUUUAGGAGGAAGUGGGGAAAGGAUCUGAUGAGUGACUGGACUGGAGGGAAGGGCAGAGACCGGAGAGGCACAGCAGUCUGGAAGAUUCUGGGUCUCCAUUUCGUACAGUUUUAGCACUGUGCCUUGCAUAAAAAGGCCAAAGAAGCUGUCUUUUCCGCAAGGAGCUGCUAAUCCAUUAGAAGAGAUAAUAUGGGUACCUAAAAAUAUUUCAUACCAGAAAAAUGGAGGAGCAUAGGCAAAGGAUCUGGACGCCAGGUAAGGAAAAGACAGAAAGGCCAAACUGAGAAGUGUGGACUUUACUUGAUAGGUAAUGAAAGUCUGAGAAUAUCAAAGCUUUACUUUGGUGACUAUGGUGAUGAGAUGAGAGUUAUUGAAUAGGGAAGCAACCAAAAAAGGAAAGGAAACGAACGCUGGUCUUUCAAAGCUUAGCACCACUGACCACUCAGUAAAUAUUUGUCCUUUCUUCAUGUUUCCAUCUCACCCCAGGACUCCUUGAAUCAGAGCACUUAUUAUGCUGUGUUGUAAUUGUUUACUUGCCUGUAGAACAUGAGAGGCCAGGGACUGAGACAUUCUUAGAGAAAGUAUGAGCCGUGGUUAAGACUUGUCUGGGCUUGACUUUUAUUUGACCUCACCCUCUCCAUGCCUUGGUGUCCUCAUCUGGACAUAAUAAUUGUAACUGUUUCCACAAUUAAUAAUAAUUGCAAUGGUUUGUUGUGAACAUAAAUGAGUUCAUAUGCGAAAAACACUAAAAAUAGUGCCUGGCUAGUAGGGAGGGCCCAUAAACGCUAGGGAUUAUUAGUCCUCGUGCCCGGCUCAGUGUUUGGAAACUAAUAAGUACUUUGUUCAGUGAGUGAAUGUAGGGGCCUACAAUAAGCCAGACGCUUUGUAUUAGCUGUUUUGGGCUAUGUUCACAACACCCCUAUGAGGAAGAUAUAAUUUCUAAUUUUAGGGAAUUUAAAAAAGAGCUCUGAUGGGAGUUCCUAUGUGGCGCAGAGGGUUAAGGGUCUGGUGUUGCUGCAGCUGCAGUAAGGAUUCAAUCCCUGAUCCAGGAACUUCUACAUGCUUCAGGU